rnacentral:rRNA from 1 species
UACGUAGGGUGCAAGCGUUAAUCGGAAUUACUGGGCGUAAAGCGUGCGCAGGCGGUUUUGUAAGUCUGAUGUGAAAUCCCCGGGCUCAACCUGGGAAUUGCAUUGGAGACUGCAAGGCUAGAAUCUGGCAGAGGGGGGUAGAAUUCCACGUGUAGCAGUGAAAUGCGUAGAGAUGUGGAGGAACACCGAUGGCGAAGGCAGCCCCCUGGGUCAAGAUUGACGCUCAUGCA